UACGUAGGGUGCGAGCGUUGUCCGGAAUUAUUGGGCGUAAAGGGCUCGUAGGCGGUUUGUCACGUCGGGAGUGAAAACUCAGGGCUCAACCCUGAGCGUGCUUCCGAUACGGGCAGACUAGAGGUAUGCAGGGGGAGAACGGAAUUCCUGGUGUAGCGGUGGAAUGCGCAGAUAUCAGGAGGAACACCGGUGGCGAAGGCGGGUCUCUGGGCAGUAACUGACGCUGAGGAGCGAAAGCGUGGGGAGCGAACGG
rnacentral:rRNA from 1 species